CUGUGUUAUAUGUAACAAUGGACCCUGACCUCUACAAGGGAGCAGGGAUAAGUGUCUUCUCAUAUCUCUUUCGGGGCCAUGUUCUUUCCAUGUUCAGGAUUUCUAAUCGGAUGCUUGAAGGUUUAUUGUUCAGUUUGGGCCUGGGGAUUUCUUGAAGGCAAGUUCCCAUGGGACAAAGGACUCCAAUCCCCAGAAUCCUUUGCUCCACUUACCCAGAAUGCUUUGUAAUCACACUGAAUUCUCGCCUGGGCAAGAACACAAAUGAUUAUUUAAAGGAGUUCUCCAACUACUGAGGGGCUUUUUGGACUUCCAUUUUGGAGCAGAUGCAUCUCUUCCAUGAUGUGAGUAGGCCUCUCUGGCUUAGGCAUGUAUUUUCUUAUCCUGUAUUUUCUGUAAUCCUUAAUCUUUAAUAAAUCUCAUAAAAUUAUAAUACUCCUUGCA
rnacentral:lncRNA from 1 species